UGUUGAAAUAGUCACAGCACUGUGUUGCAGUGCAGGCAAACUCCUGCUUGCCAUGAGACUCGGGAUAUCCUGCAGAGAAACAGAAACACCAGCCUUGACAAAGCAUCCAGCUAAAUGUCCUUCAAAUCCUUGAUUCUAAAGAUCCAGUUUGGGUGUGAUUCUAGCAUGCACUGGACCUGGAGUACAUGCCCCACUCAGCACUGCUGUGCUCAAAGAAGUGGUUGAUAACAGAGUGCUAGCAAGGUCAGUAAAUGAGGCAAGGUCAGUAAAUGUACUUGCCAUGUAUAUGUUUCUAGCAUUUUCUCAUUCUGUGGGAAAAAUAAAAUAAAAUAAAUUAUGGAUUACCUAUGCAUAGCAUUUUGGAGAAAGUCUGUCACAUGAAGAACUUCUAUUAUGAUACAUAAAGCUUUGCUUCUUAUCAAAAUGUGAAGCACGAACAAGUCAACCAAUCCACACAGUUAAACUUGUUUUUUCAGUUGAUCCUGAACAGUACAAAUGGCAAACCAAGGCACUAUUACAUCACUCUGGGAUGCAACCUCAUAACAAGGGUAAACUGGUCUGUGUCUGUUAGCAGCUGGUACUCACUUUGCAAUACGCCUUGUCAAAUAUACCUUGCUUGGAAAGGCGAGCCCCCUGGAAAAAUGGCAAAGACAGAUCAAGCAUCCUCUUGCACAGAUCCAUCCAUAAUGCUCCUUCAGACCCAGGUGGAAAACGUCCUACCAUUGCUUCAGCCUGGAAAAAUACUUCUGUGUUUCCCAGCUGUCAGACGCUUUGCCACAACCAGACAUCUUCCCCGGGAGAAAGCAGAGCUUUUGGAAAUCUUGGCUGAGGGAGCUGGCCCAGAGGAGCAAAGCAGGGUGUAUAUAUAUAGCAUCUUCACAAAGUACUCUUUAUUAUUCUAUACCUUCGAGAUGUAAGUAGUUUUUGACGUAAGUAAAGUGCCUGUCAGGGGAUAGCUACACAGCUUUAGGAUACUGUACCUGUAAGAAUAUUAUUUCCUUGAGAGGGCACAACAAGCUGAAAGGAAAGGAGAAAAUUAGGGUUGAAGGAGAGUCAGUCUGUGGGAACUCAAAUACGGAUAGAAUAAAAAACAAGACAAAACAGAAAUAAGUUCUGAA
rnacentral:lncRNA from 1 species